UCAACAGGAUUUAGAAGACUAUGCUAUGGAACAAGACAUAGACGGCGUUCGAGCAGCUAGUUUGCCGGAUGAAAGAUUUAUUGACCCGAUGAGGAGAUUCUAUGGCAGAAAGAGAUAAACACAUCGUAUGGGCCAGUCUAUCACAUGUUCGAAAUUAGUCGAAGAUAACAUCUUAGUGUUUUAUAAAUUCAUGUUAGGAUAUGGUAAUAUAUUGUAAUCAUGAGAUGACUGAAUAAAUCCUAUGCACAUUAUCAAAACA